UUUCCCUAGCAUUUGUGUGGUGGCGUUUUCACCUUGCGGCAACAUUUUCUCUCUUGCGGCGUUGACGAUUUCUCUCGGCCAUUAAAUCUUUCCUUUUUCUUCCCCUCUUUUCUAAUCUCCUAAGUUGGUUGCUAUCGACCUCCACUACCGCUAGCGGCCUUCGUCGGUGCUGGCGGCCUAAAGCAUCUGCUAGCGGCCUUCGCCAACCUCAUGUGGGUCGCUACCGGCCUUCGUCGGCCGCCAGCGGUCACAGGCGAUUUUCACCAGCCGCCAACAGUCGUAGACAUCCUUUGCCGGCCUCCAGCAGCCGCCAGCAGUCGCAGGCGGCCGAGGCUGCCCCUUAGUGGGCUUGGCUACCCCCUAGCUAGCUUGGUCGGCCUCUGCCAACCUUGGCCGUGUUUGGCUUGGCCGCUGGCGGUCUCCAACGGCCUUGGCCGCCCCUGCAAGCCUUGGCGUUAGCUUGGCCGCUGGCGAUGUCCAACAGUCGAGACCGUCCUGUGGCGAGCUUAGCGGUCCCCUGGCAACCAUGGCGGGCUUGUCUUGGCCACUAGUGGCCUUCCUGGGCCUGCUUGGCUACGAGGUCCUGUGUCGGCCUUGCUUGGCUGCGGGGGGCUGGUGUUGACCUUGGCUAUGAUAGGCGGGCAAGAUUAUAUUUGUUCAUUUGUAGACUAGUAUAUUUGAUUGUAAUUUUAUAUUAUUGUUUGUGUGGGUUUGUAUUUGACGUGGCUUGGAAAGACUCAUUUUUGUUCACCUUUAUUAGGUGUAUUUAUUUACGCAUGUAUUUUAAUAAUGAUAGUAUUAGUGUUGGAAUGAUAUAUAGCAUUAGUAUAGGGUUGAUAUUUUUUGAUAAUGAUAGAAUAGUGUUUGAAUGAUGGAGGGAGGGAAAGCGCAGCUAGCCCCUAUCGACCGCGGCAUCCCUCUGUCCUUUUUUACCUUUGUUAGGUGAGGAAGAUGCCAUCCAGAAUGAGACAGUGGGCCCAGAGGCGAAGUAGCCGAGGAGAUGAGGUUGAAUGCAUCACACACUGUCUAGGGGCUCUAGAUGUCUGUUAUUAGUCCUUUUCCUUUGAUUGCUACGUUAAUAUGAGAUGGAGACUACUUGUUAGCUUGCUUUGGUAGGAGGUCACAAAUGUUUCCUGUAAGAUGUGUUUCUCUUGACAUUUUAUUUGCAAAUUUUGGACAAAUGUGUGAUGCAAAGAUGUUUCCUUUCAGUGUACAGUUUGUGGUUUAGUUUCUAGCAAAUCACAUGCCAGUGUAUUUUAUUUUAUUUAUUUUUCUUUUCUCUGAUGUUGUAUGAUUCAAUCAUACAUAAGUAGUUAGGGUUGUCUCAACCCAGAUGUUUGUAAUAAAGGUUGCUCUUCUUUGGACUAUAAAUGACUUUUCAGCUUAUGGUA